CCUAACACAACUAGGCAUUGUGGAGCUUUUGAGAAACACUUAAACACAACACAUGCUAGAGAAGUGCAAAGCAGGCCCCCGUUCGGCAAGGCAUUUUAAGAACAGGGACAACACCCCAGUACUUCAAAGGAUCUCCUUAUCUAAUUACAGUUACUCGCAGGCUGAUCAGCCCUGAACUUGCCAACCAACGAGCAGCGAAGUCAAGAACUGAACUGAGGAACUUACUCCUAGAACCCCUGCUGUGACCGCUGAACAAAGUUCCCUCCAUUUAAAGCUCUGCAUUCAUUCAGUGUGCAUGAAUUCAUUCGUUUCCAAUAUGAAUUCCAUUCUCUUUUUCCCCUGGGAUUUUUCUGCUCGCUGACAACUUGUAGCUCGAAGAAAAACUCUACAGCCCCGGAAUUACAGAAAAUGUACAGCCCUUUAUGCAAGCAUUUGACCAUGUCCAGUUUGUCAAAAGGAGAACUCUUUUGUGUAUUCGAGCCAUCACUCCUUCAGACCUAUAUUCCAGCUAAUCCACCCAUCCCAUCUUCUGCAGUAGCCACUACCAGAUGCUGCAGAGAAAGCUAUAGAACACUUAUUGACUUCAGUGGAGCAAAUCAAGCAACGCUUUCAGCAACAGGCCCUCCAUAUGGACCACCCAGGUUGUCUCGGGUAAAGCAACAGAAGUUCCCAAGGUCUGGAAUAGACUGCCGCCAGAGGUGGUUCAAGCACCCACUUUGAACGCCUUCAAGACACAUUUGGAUGUUUAUCGUGCUGGGAUCCUAU